CUAAAUCAAUUUAAAGUUUAUUGUUGUACCAGAAGACACCUUUAUUCUUGCCGCUCUCAUCAGGCUCGACGUACAUGCAUUCCUUUGCUUCCCUCCACAUAGCCUUGAAGACCGGAGUCUCAUCGAGCCUAUAAUAGUCUCCGAGUAUUGGCCUGAUUACCUUUGUGGCCUCCAUCGCAUGAUAAUGUGGCAUUGUCGAGAACAAAUGGUGAGCCACGUGGGUGUCGGUAAUGUUAUGCAUGAUCUUGUUUAGGAUUCCGUAGUCUCUAUCAACUGUUGCCAAAGCACCCCUUAACCAAUCCCACUCGGUUUUGUUGU
rnacentral:lncRNA from 1 species